GCAGUCGUGACCGGGUGGUUAAGGCGGUGGACUAGAAAUCCAUUGGGGUCUCCCCGCACAGGUUCGAAUCCUGUCGACUGCG
rnacentral:tRNA from 1 species